CAGGAUGCCUCCUGCCUGCUGACAGUGGAGCUCCCACAACCAGCGUACUCCCGUCUGCUGGUACCUGACCACCGCAAUGCACAUGAAACCAGGAACUUUGAAGCCUUCAUCAAACUCUGCAUCGCUGUCAUCUGUCAGCUCCUCACCUCUUUCCCGCCUCUCCUCCCGUUCUCGAAGACGCUGUCGCUUCCACCUCCUAGUACAGAUAGGUGAAGCGGAAAACAAACGCAGGACUUUGUGAGUAAGGAUCUUGUCUGAACCCGAUAAUGAGGUGGCUGAGACAGAUUCAUAAUGUCUUUAAGAACUAAUAAAUGGACGGAAAGCCCGCAAAAGUUGCGUGGAAGGAAA